rnacentral:misc_RNA from 1 species
GAAAUGCGAUAAGUAAUGUGAAUUGCAGAAUUCAGUGAAUCAUCGAAUCUUUGAAUGCACAUUGCGCCCGCCAGUAUUCUGGCGGGCAUGCCUGUUCGAGCGUCAUUACAACCCUCAGGCCCCCGGGCCUGGCGUUGGGGAUCGGCGGAAGCCCCCUGCGGGCACAACGCCGUCCCCCAAAUACAGUGGCGGUCCCGCCGCAGCUUCCAUUGCGUAGUAGCUAACACCUCGCAACUGGAGAGCGGCGCGGCCACGCCGUAAAACACCCAACUUCUGAAUGUUGACCUCGAAUCAGGUAGGAAUACCCGCUGAACUUAAGC